rnacentral:rRNA from 1 species
UACGUAGGGUGCGAGCGUUAAUCGGAAUUACUGGGCGUAAAGCGUGCGCAGGCGGUUCGUUGUGUCGGCGGUGAAAGCCCCGGGCUUAACCUGGGAAUGGCCGUUGAAACUGGCGAACUGGAGUGUGGCAGAGGAAGGUGGAAUUCCACGUGUAGCGGUGAAAUGCGUAGAGAUGUGGAGGAACACCAAUGGCGAAGGCAGCCUUCUGGGCCAACACUGACGCUCAUGCACGAAAGCGUGGGGAGCAAACAGG